rnacentral:rRNA from 1 species
UACGGAGGGUGCAAGCGUUAUCCGGAUUCACUGGGUUUAAAGGGUGCGUAGGCGGACAUUUAAGUCAGUGGUGAAAUACCUGAGCUUAACUUGGGAACUGCCAUUGAUACUAUUUGUCUUGAAUAUUGUGGAGGUAAGCGGAAUAUGUCAUAUAGCGGUGAAAUGCUUAGAUAUGACAUAGAACACCAAUUGCGAAGGCAGCUUACUACACAGUUAUUGACACUGAGGCACGAAAGCGUGGGGAUCAAACAGG